UGGGGUAUAGCUUAGUGGUAGAGCACUUGCCUAGCAUGUGUGAGGCCCUGGGUUCCAUCCCCAGUACUGCAA
rnacentral:tRNA from 1 species